AACGAACGCUGGCGGCAUGCCUAACACAUGCAAGUCGAACGAGACCUUCGGGUCUAGUGGCGCACGGGUGCGUAACGCGUGGGAACCUGCCCUUAGGUUCGGAAUAACUCCCCGAAAGGGGUGCUAAUACCGGAUAAUGUCUUCGGACCAAAGAUUUAUCGCCUUUGGAUGGGCCCGCGUUGGAUUAGCUAUUUGGUAGGGUAAAAGCCUACCAAGGCGACGAUCCAUAGCUGGUCUGAGAGGAUGAUCAGCCACACUGGGACUGAGACACGGCCCAGACUACUACGGGAGGCAGCAGUGGGGAAUAUAGGAAAAUGGGCGAAAGCCUGAUCCAGCAAUGCCGCGUGAGUGAUGAAGGCCUUAGGGUUGUAAAGCUCUUUUACCCGGGAUGAUAAUGACAGUACCGGGAGAAUAAGCUCCGGCUAACUCCGUG
rnacentral:rRNA from 1 species